rnacentral:rRNA from 1 species
UUCCGGUUGAUCCCGCCGGACCUGACUGCUAUUGGAUUGAUACUAAGCCAUGCGAGUCAUUGUAGCAAUACAAGGCAUACUGCUCAGUAACACGUAGUUAAUCUACCCUAUGGACGAGAAUAACCUCGGGAAACUGAGAAUAAUACUCGAUAGAUCAUUAUGCUUGGAAUAGUUUAUGAUUUAAAUGAUUUCGCCAUAGGAUGAGACUGCGGCCUAUCAGCUUGUUGGUGUGGUAAUGGCUCACCAAGGCUAUAACAGGUACGGGCUCUGAGAGGAGAAGCCCGGAGAUGGGUACUGAGACACUGACCCAGGCCCUAUGGGGCGCAGCAGGCGAGAAAACUUUGCAAUGUGCGAAAGCACGACAAGGUUAAUCCAAGUGAUUUCUGCUAAAGAAAUCUUUUGUUAGUUUUAAAAGUACUGAUGAAUAAGGGGUGGGCAAGUUCUGGUGUCAGCCGCCGCGGUAAAACCAGCACCUCAAGUGGUCAGGAUGAUUAUUGGGCCUAAAGCAUCCGUAGCCGGUUGUGUAAGUUUUCGGUUAAAUCCAUGUGCUUAACAUAUGGGCAGCUGGAAAUACUAUAUGACUAGGGAGUGGGAGAGGUAGACGGUACUCGAUAGGAAGGGGUAAAAUCCUUUGAUCUAUUGAUGACCACCAGUGGCGAAGGCGGUCUACCAGAACACGUUCGACGGUGAGGGAUGAAAGCUGGGGGAGCAAACCGGAUUAGAUACCCGGGUAGUCCCAGCUGUAAACAAUGCAAACUCAGUGAUGCGUUGGCUUAUAGCUAACGCAGUGCUGCAGGGAAGCCGUUAAGUUUGCCGCCUGGGAAGUACGUACGCAAGUAUGAAACUUAAGGAAUUGGCGGGGGAGCACCACAAGGGGUGAAGCCUGCGGUUCAAUUGGAGUCAACGCCGGA